CCUCCGGGAGGCUGCAGUGGGGAAUAUUGCACAAUGGGCGCAAGCCUGAUGCAGCCAUGCCGCGUGUAUGAAGAAGGCCUUCGGGUUGUAAAGUACUUUCAGUCGUGAGGAAGGUGUUAAGGUUAAUAACCUUAGCAAUUGACGUUAGCGACAGAAGAAGCACCGGCUAACUCCGUGCCAGCAGCCGCGGUAAUACGGAGGGUGCGAGCGUUAAUCGGAAUUACUGGGCGUAAAGGGCACGCAGGCGGUUAAUUAAGUUGGAUGUGAAAGGCCCGGGCUUAACCUGGGAAUGGCAUGCAAGACUGGUUAGCUAGAGUCGUGUAGAGGGGGGUAGAAUGCCAUGUGUAGCGGGGAGAUGCGUAGAGAGGUGGGGGAGUACCGGUGGCGGAGGCGGCCCCCUGGACAAAGGCUGACGCGCAGGGGCGAAAGCGUGGGGAGCAAGCAGGAUUAGAUGCCGUGGUAGGG
rnacentral:rRNA from 1 species